rnacentral:rRNA from 1 species
CAGCCGCCGCGGUAAUACGUAGGUCCCGAGCGUUGUCCGGAUUUAUUGGGCGUAAAGCGAGCGCAGGCGGUUAGAUAAGUCUGAAGUUAAAGGCUGUGGCUUAACCACAGUACGCUUUGGAAACUGUUUAACUUGAGUGCAAGAGGGGAGAGUGGAAUUCCGUGUGUAGCGGUGAAAUGCGUAGAUAUAUGGAGGAACGCCGGUGGCGAAAGCGGCUCUCUGGCUUGUAACUGACGCUGAGGCUCGAAAGCGUGGGGAGCAAACAGGAUUAGAUACCCCAGUAGUCCCUGUCUCUUAUACA